AACACGUGAGCAAUCUGCCCCUGACUCUGGGAUAAGCGCUGGAAACGGCGUCUAAUACUGGAUACGAACCGUGGAGGCAUCUUCAACGGUUGGAAAGAUUUUUUGGUCAGGGAUGAGCUCGCGGCCUAUCAGCUUGUUGGUGAGGUAAUGGCUCACCAAGGCGUCGACGGGUAGCCGGCCUGAGAGGGUGACCGGCCACACUGGGACUGAGACACGGCCCAGACUCCUACGGGAGGCAGCAGUGGGGAAUAUUGCACAAUGGGCGAAAGCCUGAUGCAGCAACGCCGCGUGAGGGAUGACGGCCUUCGGGUUGUAAACCUCUUUUAGCAGGGAAGAAGCGAAAGUGACGGUACCUGCAGAAAAAGCGCCGGCUAACUACGUGCCAGCAGCCGCGGUAAUACGUAGGGCGCAAGCGUUAUCCGGAAUUAUUGGGCGUAAAGAGCUCGUAGGCGGUUUGUCGCGUCUGCUGUGAAAUCCCGAGGCUCAACUUCGGGUCUGCAGUGGGUACGGGCAGACUAGAGUGCGGUAGGGGAGAUUGGAAUUCCUGGUGUAGCGGUGGAAUGCGCAGAUAUCAGGAGGAACACCGAUGGCGAAGGCAGAUCUCUGGGCCGUAACUGACGCUGAGGAGCGAAAGGGUGGGGAGCAAACAGGCUUAGAUACCCUGGUAGUCCACCCCGUAAACGUUGGGAACUAGUUGUGGGGUCCAUUCCACGGAUUCCGUGACGCAGCUAACGCAUUAAGUUCCCCGCCUGGGGAGUACGGCCGCAAGGCUAAAACUCAAAGGAAUUGACGGGGACCCGCACAAGCGGCGGAGCAUGCGGAUUAAUUCGAUGCAACGCGAAGAACCUUACCAAGGCUUGACAUAUACGAGAACGCUGCAGAAAUGUAGAACUCUUUGGACACUCGUAAACAGGUGGUGCAUGGUUGUCGUCAGCUCGUGUCGUGAGAUGUUGGGUUAAGUCCCGCAACGAGCGCAACCCUCGUUCUAUGUUGCCAGCACGUCAUGGUGGGAACUCAUGGGAUACUGCCGGGGUCAACUCGGAGGAAGGUGGGGAUGACGUCAAAUCAUCAUGCCCCUUAUGUCUUGGGCUUCACGCAUGCUACAAUGGCCGGUACAAAGGGCUGCAAUACCGUGAGGUGGAGCGAAUCCCAAAAAGCCGGUCCCAGUUCGGAUUGAGGUCUGCAACUCGACCUCAUGAAGUCGGAGUCGCUAGUAAUCGCAGAUCAGCAACGCUGCGGUGAAUACGUUCCCGGGUCUUGUACACACCGCCCGUCAAGUCAUGAAAGUCGGUAACACCUGAAGCCGGUGGCCCAACCCUUGUGGAGGGA
rnacentral:rRNA from 1 species